CCUGGUCUUAUGCUCCAGGCAGAACAGGUAGCUCUGAGGAGAACAGAGGUGCAUUGAUGGCAGAAGGUGGAUUGCACAGGCAAUGUUCAGCAUUCCUAAAUGGCUUGGGAAAGGGGGCAUCCAAGGAAUGAGAGAUGUGCCAGCUGUGUCAUACGCUGCUUCGUGCAUCUUCCACAGUAUUGCCAGUUAACUUCUCAUUUCACAAGCUUUCCAGUUGGUGAUGUUUUAAUAAGCAGAAAGAACAUAGCUUGAUUUUCAGGUGCCAAGGUGAAGAGAUGAAAAGUUAAGGAGGUUUGUAGUUGAUGGACAAAGAUGCUGAAGAGAGAUUACCAGGACUCAAAGUUGAAAGGGUGAAGAGGGGACCAGAAGCCAAGAAGGUGACUCCUCUUGAUAAAGGGAAAAAGCAGAGGGGCUGAGUUUCCGAAAAUGAGUCGAUUUACUAUAAGUACCUCCAUGCAGAAGUCAUCCUCAGUGUUCUAAGACAGUCACCAUUUGGAAAUCAAUAUUCUUUGUCAAUGCUACAGUCCCUCACCUCUGAAUGUCUUCUUAUGGAUGCUGACUUUGCCAAAGUCCAAUACCAUUGAACAAAAGGACACUAAAGCCUUUUCCAAAGAAAGUUUGAGGGUACCUUACAGCUGGAUAGGUCUCCAACUUGAGCUGAACUAGAAUCUCCUCUAAUCCUACUGAGAACUACAACUUGUAUCCUUUACUAGGUCUCCAUCCACCUAAAAAGCACAACGUGACUGCCAAGGGUCUGCCCCAUCAGAGCACCCCCUUUGGCUGUUACUUGGAAAGUGCACUCGCACAAGUCCAGUCCUUCUAACAGGAGCAUUCAAUGCUAGUCUAGCAGGGGCAGGCUCUCAGUCCCUCCUUCCUCCCUCCCAUCCAGUCUAAGCCUUCUGGUUAUUUCUCCCUUUUCGGAGACUCUGGUGAAACAAACCAACAAUCCGAAGUCAGCAAAAGAAGUUAAACAAAAGGUUAAACAAAUACUAUGCCCCAGGACAAGGCUAUAAGAGCCAGAAAGUGAAACUAAUGAUAAAUAAAGCUCUGGCUAGCAUCUUCAUUUUCCAAGUUCAGUGAAAAGCAACAGUGAACAAAUAUCCUUAAUGGCAAAAAGUAAAUUAGAUUUUUAAGAUUGUGUUAAUUAUCAAUGGUGAUGUUAUUAAUAACACAGCUAGGAAAUCUGAUUUCUAUCUUCACAGUGUCCCUUGAAAAAGGGAAAUAAUUCCAUGUCCCAAGAGAGGAAUAAAAAGUUGAGAACAUAUAUGUAUCUC